CUGGCCUAUGAAGUGGGAACCUACUCAUUUGUGUGUAUGUGGUGGGGAGCAGACAGAAAGGAAGUAAUAUGCAGUUGCAGCAGUCAAGAAGGAUCAAAGACUAGCAAUUUUCAUCAGGAAAAAGAGUGAAGGAGCCAUCCUAAAUGUGAACCAGACCAGUGCACUUAGACACCAGGUCAAAACACUUGAGCGCAUGAUUUGAACAGGCCUGACCCCAGUAACGACAGCAGGUCACAAGGUCAGUGAGGUGACGGAUUUUGUUCUGUGGUCAAAGGGAACUCGCUGCAGCCUCUCUUGAGGCAGUCUC